rnacentral:tmRNA from 1 species
GGGGUUGUACUGGUUUCGACGGGGGUUUUGAAAUUGCGGUAGCCAUUCGCAGACUAGGACUGCGUCAACAACUUAGAAAUUAAAAAUAAACGCAAACGAUAAUUACGAAUUAGCAGCUGCCUAAGUGCAGCGCUUGUCGGCCUUAAGCGGCCCGCGGCUUAAGAUCCCGGCAUCAAAUUAGCGGGGACCUUUAUCUCCAAAGCUUUGAGGAGAUAAAAGAUUUAUGAAGCUACCAAAAUCGGAAGCCUGUCUGUCGGCGGCCGAUGGAGGGAACAACAUGUAAUAGUACUUGUACUAGAGGCAUGUAAAAAAGAUAGACUGUAAUGGGAGAAGCUGCAAUGGAAGGGCUUUCGGACGCGGGUUCGACUCCCGCCAGCUCCAUUG